rnacentral:rRNA from 1 species
UACGUAGGGGGCAAGCGUUAUCCGGAUUUACUGGGUGUAAAGGGAGCGCAGACGGCAGUGCAAGUCUGAUGUGAAAGCCCGGGGCUCAACCCCGGAACUGCAUUGGAAACUGUACAGCUUGAGUGUCGGAGAGGUAAGCGGAAUUCCUAGUGUAGCGGUGAAAUGCGUAGAUAUUAGGAGGAACACCGGUGGCGAAGGCGGCUUACUGGACGAUGACUGACGUUGAGUCUCGAAAGCGUGGGGAGCAAACAGGAUUAGAUACCCCCGUAGUCCCUGA